CUUACCCGCCGAUUCUCUCUG
rnacentral:misc_RNA from 1 species